rnacentral:rRNA from 1 species
GACGAACGCUGGCGGCGUGCCUAAUACAUGCAAGUAGAACGCACAGUUUAUACCGUAGCUUGCUCCACCAUAGACUGUGAGUUGCGAACGGGUGAGUAACGCGUAGGUAACCUGCCUGGUAGCGGGGGAUAACUAGUGGAAACGAUCGCUAAUACCGCAUAAUAUUAAUUAUUGCAUGAUAAUUGAUUGAAAGAUGCUAUUGCAUCACUACCAGAUGAACCUGCGUUGUAUUAGCUAGUAGGUGAGGUAACGGCUCACCUAGGCGACGAGACAUAGCCGACAUGAGAGGGGGAUGGGCCACACCGGGACUGGGACCCGGCCCAGAGUCCUACGGGCGGCAGCAGUAGGGAAUCGUGGGCAAUGGACGAAAGUCGGACCGAUCAACGCGGCGUGAGUGAAGAAGGGUGUCGGAUCGCAAAGUCCUGUUGUAAGAGAAGAUCGGGUGUGAGAGUGGAAAGUUCACAAUGUGACGGUAGCUUAGCAGAAAGGGACGGCUAACUACGUG